rnacentral:misc_RNA from 1 species
CACCUUGGGCUUUGGGG